rnacentral:rRNA from 1 species
CAAUAGCGUAUAUUUAAGUUGUUGCAGUUAAAAAGCUCGUAGUUGGAUUUCGGUUAAGAGCGACCGGUCCGCCGUUUGGUGUGCACUGGUUGGUUUUAACUUCCUGUAGAGGACGUGCUCUGGGUUUAACGACCUGGACUCGGAGUCUACGUGGUUACUUUGAAAAAAUUAGAGUGUUCAAAGCGGGCUUACGCUUGAAUAUUUCAGCAUGGAAUAACACUAUAGGACUCCUGUCCUAUUUCGUUGGUCUCGGGACGGGAGUAAUGAUUAAGAGGAACAGUUGGGGGCAUUCGUAUUUCAUUGUCAGAGGUGAAAUUCUUGAAUUUAUGAAAGACGAACUUCUGCGAAAGCAUUUGCCAAGGAUGUUUNCAUUAA